rnacentral:sRNA from 1 species
ACCUUAUUGUUGGUUAAUCUACACCAACAAGGUUGAGAUAAUCCUGUGGAGUAAAACAUGAGCGAUAAAAUUAUUCACCUGACUGAC